UACGGGGGGGGCAAGCGUUGUUCGGAAUUACUGGGCGUAAAGGGCGCGUAGGCGGCCUUCUAAGUCAGACGUGAAAUCCCUCGGCUCAACCGAGGAACUGCGUCUGAUACUGGAAGGCUUGAAUCCGGGAGAGGGAUGUGGAAUUCCGGGUGUAGCGGUGAAAUGCGUAGAUAUCUGGAGGAACACCGGUGGCGAAGGCGGCAUCCUGGACCGGUAUUGACGCUGAGGCGCGAAAGCUAGGGGAGCAAACGGG
rnacentral:rRNA from 1 species